rnacentral:ncRNA from 1 species
GGAGAAUCAUAGAGUUUCUUAAUGUUCUGUAAAACAGUUAGCAAUGGAGCAACAGGACGUUGCUACAAGCAAAAGCCGUGACAUGGAUGUUACGUCUUUUGCGGUUGCGUGAGUAGCAGGUAUGCCGGCAGAACAUUUAGAAACACUUAGAUUCGUAA